rnacentral:rRNA from 1 species
UACGUAGGGCGCAAGCGUUAUCCGGAAUUAUUGGGCGUAAAGAGCUCGUAGGCGGUUUGUCGCGUCUGCCGUGAAAGUCCGGGGCUCAACUCCGGAUCUGCGGUGGGUACGGGCAGACUAGAGUGAUGUAGGGGAGACUGGAAUUCCUGGUGUAGCGGUGAAAUGCGCAGAUAUCAGGAGGAACACCGGUGGCAAAGGCGGAUCUCUGGGCCUUACCUGACGCUCAGGUGCGAAAGCUAGGGGAGCGAACAGG